UGACAUAAAGGAUGCCUAGGUUCCACGAUGU
rnacentral:piRNA from 1 species